CAGAGAGUAGUUUAAUAUAAAAUACUAGUUUUGGGGAUUAGUGAUAGGGUUGUCUCUUUCUCUGA
rnacentral:tRNA from 1 species